GAGAGCCAGAUGAGGGGAGACCUUCACAUCUGGUUCGGAGGGUGGGGAUAUCCCGACCCUAC
rfam:Lupinus angustifolius cultivar Tanjil contig_9567, whole genome shotgun sequence.